UGAGUACGAGCGGCUACGGCCGCGAAGUGGAUGAUGUCAAGCUUCCAAGAAAAGCCCUAUACCCGUUAAGGCAUGAUGGCCUGUACCCGAAACCGACACAGGUGGGGUGGUAGAGAAUACCGAGGGGCGCGAGGUAACUCUCUCUAAGGAACUCGGCAAAAUGGCCCCGUAACUUCGGGAGAAGGGGUGCCACCGCGAGGUGGUCGCAGUGAAGAGGCCCAGGCGACUGUUUACCAAAAACACAGGUCUCCGCUAAGUCGCAAGACGAUGUAUGGGGGCUGACGCCUGCCCAGUGCCGGAAGGUUAAGGGAGCUGGUCAGCGCAAGCGAAGCUGGCGACUGAAGCCCCGGUGAACGGCGGCCGUAACAAUAACGGUCCUAAGGUAGCGAAAUUCCUUGUCGGGUAAGUUCCGACCCGCACGAGAGGCGUAACGAUCUGGGCGCUGUCUCGGAGAGAGGCUCGGCGAAAUAGAAUUGUCUGUGAAGAUGCGGACUACGUGCACCCGGACAGAAAGACCCUAUGAAGCUUUACUGUAGCUUGGUAUUGUGCUCGGGCUCGAAAUGCGCAGGAUAGGUGGGAGGCUUUGAUCCAUUGCUUGCGGGUGAUGGUGAGCCACUGGUGAGAUACCACUCUUUCCGAGCUAGAGUUCUAACAGCAACCCGUUAUCCGGGUGCUGGACAGUAUCAGGUGGGCAGUUUGACUGGGGCGGCCGCCUCCUAAAGGGUAACGGAGGCGCGCAAAGGUCUGCUCAGGCUGGUUGGAAAUCAGCCGACGAGUGUAAAAGCAGAAGCAGGCUUGACUGUGAGACCUACAAGUCGAACAGGGAGGAAACUCGGCUUUAGUGAUCCGACGGUUCUGCGUGGAAGGGCCGUCGCUCAACGGAUAAAAGUUACCCUAAGGAUAACAGGCUGAUCUCCCCCAAGAGUUCACAUCGACGGGGAGGUUUGGCACCUCGAUGUCGGCUCAUCGCAACCUGGGGCUGAAGUCGGUCCCAAGGGUUGGGCUGUUCGCCCAUUAAAGCGGUACGCGAGCUGGGUUCAGAACGUCGUGAGACAGUUCGGUCCAUAUCCGGUGCACGCGCAGGAAUAUUGAGAGGAUUUCUCCCUAGUACGAGAGGACCGGGAGGAACGCACCUCUGGUGUGCCAGUUAUCGUGCCAACGGUAAACGCUGGGUAGCCAUGUGCGGAGUGGAUAACCGCUGAAAGCAUCUAAGUGGGAAGCCCACCUCAAGAUGAGUAUUCCCAUGGCAUAAGCCAGUAAGGUCACGGGAAGAACACCCGUUGAUAGGCUCUACGUGGAAGCGCAGUAAUGUGUGAAGCGGAGGAGUACUAAUAGACCGAGGGCU
rnacentral:rRNA from 1 species